UACGAAGGGUGCAAGAGUUAAUCGGAAUUACUGGGCGUAAAGCGUGCGUAGGUGGUUUGUUAAGUCUGAUGUGAAAGCGCUGGGAUCAACCUGGGAAUGGCAUUGGAUACUGGCUUACUAGAGUGCGGUAGAGGGAUGCGGAAUUUCCAGUGUAGCGGUGAAAUGCGUAGAGAUCGGAAGGAACAUCUGUGGCGAAGGCGGCAUCCUGGACCAGCACUCACACUGAGGCACGAAAGCGUGGGGAGCAAACAGG
rnacentral:rRNA from 1 species